AGUAAGAGAAGGAGAAGCCCACAGAGGAGGGGAGAAGAACCAGGAAGUAGCGGGUCCUUGAGAUGGGAGCUGGGAGCAGCAGGGACCCUUGUGAGGGAAAGCUAACGGCCAGGGAGAGGAUCAGUCUCUUGCUGGACCCUGGCAGCUUUGUUGAGAGCGACAUGUUUGUGGAACACAGAUGUGCAGAUUUUGGAAUGGCUGCUGAUAAGAAUAAGUUUCCUGGAGACAGCGUGGUCACUGGACGAGGCCGAAUCAAUGGAAGAUUGGUUUAUGUCUUCAGUCAGGAUUUUACAGUUUUUGGAGGCAGUCUGUCAGGAGCACAUGCCCAAAAGAUCUGCAAAAUCAUGGACCAGGCCAUAACGGUGGGGGCUCCAGUGAUUGGGCUGAAUGACUCUGGGGGAGCACGGAUCCAAGAGGGAGUGGAGUCUUUGGCUGGCUAUGCAGACAUCUUUCUGAGGAAUGUUAUGGCAUCCGGAGUCAUCCCUCAGAUUUCUCUGAUCAUGGGCCCAUGUGCUGGUGGGGCCGUCUACUCCCCCGCCCUAACGGACUUCACGUUCAUGGUAAAGGACACCUCCUACCUGUUCAUCACUGGCCCUGAUGUUGUGAAGUCUGUCACCAAUGAGGAUGUUACUCAGGAGGAGCUCGGUGGUGCCAAGACCCACACCACCAUGUCAGGUGUGGCCCACAGAGCUUUUGAAAAUGAUGUUGAUGCCUUGUGUAAUCUCCGGGAUUUCUUCAACUACCUGCCCCUGAGCAGUCAGGACCCGGCUCCUGUCCGUGAGUGCCAUGAUCCCAGUGACCGUCUGGUUCCUGAGCUCGACACAAUUGUCCCUUUGGAAUCAACCAAAGCCUACAACAUGGUGGACAUCAUACACUCUGUUGUUGAUGAGCGUGAAUUUUUUGAGAUCAUGCCCAAUUAUGCCAAGAACAUCGUUGUUGGUUUUGCAAGAAUGAAUGGGAGGACUGUUGGAAUUGUUGGCAACCAACCUAAGGUGGCCUCAGGAUGCUUGGAUGUUAAUUCAUCUGUGAAAGGGGCUCGUUUUGUCAGAUUCUGUGAUGCAUUCAAUAUUCCACUCAUCACUUUUGUUGAUGUCCCUGGCUUUCUACCUGGUAAGUUUUGACAGAGUGGGGGCUAGGAGAGUUGCCUUUCUCAGUAAGGCACCCACUUUAUUUGGAAAUCUUCUUGCAGAACUCCCCGAGGACUUGUGACUUCUCCAUGUAUUCUGGGUGUCCAGAAGAUAGGGCUGUGUAAGGAAUGGCCCUCUCCAGAGGUGGGAAAGACCUCACAGCUG
rnacentral:sRNA from 1 species